AGUGAACGCUGGCGGUAGGCCUAACACAUGCAAGUCGAACGGCAGCACAGUAAGAGCUUGCUCUUACGGGUGGCGAGUGGCGGACGGGUGAGGAAUACAUCGGAAUCUACUUUUUCGUGGGGGAUAACGUAGGGAAACUUACGCUAAUACCGCAUACGACCUACGGGUGAAAGCAGGGGAUCUUCGGACCUUGCGCGAUUGAAUGAGCCGAUGUCGGAUUAGCUAGUUGGCGGGGUAAAGGCCCACCAAGGCGACGAUCCGUAGCUGGUCUGAGAGGAUGAUCAGCCACACUGGAACUGAGACUCGGUCCAGACUCCUACGGGAGGCAGCAGUGGGGAAUAUUGGACAAUGGGCGCAAGCCUGAUCCACCCAUACCGCGUGGGUGAAGAAGGCCUUCGGGUUGUAAAGCCCUUUUGUUGGGAAAGAAAAGCAGCAGGUUAAUACCCCGCUGUUCUGACGGUACCCAAAGAAUAAGCACCGGCUAACUUCGUG
rnacentral:rRNA from 1 species